rnacentral:rRNA from 1 species
UACGUAGGGGGCAAGCGUUGUCCGGAAUUAUUGGGCGUAAAGAGCGUGUAGGCGGUCCGGUAAGUCCGCUGUGAAAGUCCAGGGCUCAACCCUGGAAUGCCGGUGGAUACUGCCGGGCUAGAGUCCGGAAGAGGCGAGUGGAAUUCCUGGUGUAGCGGUGAAAUGCGCAGAUAUCAGGAGGAACACCAAUUGCGAAGGCAGCUUGCUGGGACGGUACUGACGCUGAGGCGCGAAAGCGUGGGGAGCAAACAGG